GUAUCGGAUGUUUGUAAAAUGUGUCAGCCAUUUUCUCAGUUAGUGCAGCUUGUCGAUCUUUGAGUCUUAUAAUGCUAGAAAAGUGAUCUCAGAAAUGUGUGUAAAGUGAAAUUAAAUGAUAAAAGUUGACAAUAAAGAGCUUGUCUUGUGGUUAAUGGUGAAGUUUGGUCAUAUUCCAUAUUACGUCGUCAAUUAUUAAGGUUUUAAGGAAACGAAGAAUUAAAAGAGAAAAACUUUUAAAGGGAUCAAGAAUAUUGAGACCGGACCAUUCUUGGACAAUGUACCAGACCUUCGGCGGAUGCUGAGUUGCGUGAUCUCGCAAUUCACCCCAACCCCAUCUGGUGUUUUAGUUCCAUAAGGCUAGCGAUUGGCACCGAUUAGCCCAAAUCGGGUUAACCACCCCGCCCUACCCUCUACGGCGCGUUCGGGUCUCGAGGUUCAAACAUUUUCUCCCCGAGCAUCGAACACCCCGACCUGAUACCCGAAAUACGAAACCCGAUUGGCAAAAAAGUGCCUCGACCAACGACUGCUGCGUUGCCGCGAUGGAUACAAAUGUGAAAAAAGAUGUCGAACAGCCCUAUACCUACGGACAUAUUGGGUAUAGCGGAAAACGGGAAAAGGUUUAGCUCCACCCCUCAAAAACGCAAGUUUUGAGCAAAACUACAUGAAUUUUAAUGAAUUGAUUAAGGCUUAAAACAAAAAACACACCUACAGAUUAUACUAGAUAUUGACAUAUACUUUUGUUUAUGAGUAUACUUGCUAUGAUUUAUGGGUUUAAUGGGAGGGUUUAAACGGGCAGGGCCACCGAUUGGGUCGACGGGCACCUACAGCGGUCGUUUUGGCAGGCAAAAUAGGUUGACGUGCAGACUAUGAGGGAGAGGACGGGCAACUAGGCGGACAUCUUGGCGGGUAGAGACAGUGAACGGGUCAGCGGCCAAAAAAUGGGAACGCAGAAAGCUUAAAGAGUAGACGGGCAAACAUUUUACGUUAACAGUUUGGCAGAAUUAAAUGGCGAAAAAACGUUAAAAAUACGCUAGCGCCACCUAUCUCCCGGCCCUGGACGGGCCCAAAGUUACUAGUUGUUAUAAUAAUUACAUGAAAUAUGUUUAUUUGAAUUUAUAAAAAGAAACAAAUAAAUUUUUUUUCGCAAAGGGGGACAAAGUUGAAUCCCACGUCUCAUAGAUGUAAAAACGCGGAACAACACCUGGUCGUUCGUUUAGAAUGAUACCAAGGACAUUUAAAAUUUUCAUCCAUGGAACAUCUAAACCAUUUCGAAAGACGGCAGACGUAGCGUAGAACCGACCGUCCAUAGAAUGUCCACAGGACGAGCAAUGCUAGUAGAGAUGUUGUCCAAAAUGUUCACAUGUAAGAAACCGCAACGUAAUACAACCAAAACGCAGCGAAAACGAAACCAAAAGUGGCUCCUGCGUAGAGCUUAUGAAAUGCUCGGAAAAACAUGUUAUCUAGGAUACUCCCUAGAGUGAAAAAAUCACCCUCUUGUGGGCAAAAAAGGGAAACAUUAUGGAAUUUGGUUUUUAUUACACACAUUAUUUAUGGUUUUUACACACAGAAACAACGAAAAAACAAUUUAAGUUUAAAUGCUGCUAAAAAAACAUGACCAGAAGACUACCUGGGAGAAUGGAUUUAAGAUAACUGACUAAAAAUUUAGAAAUGGGCCAGUAUUUGAAGAAGCAUGGUAAUUUAAAAAAGGCGGUAGACGUGGGAGUGUAGACCCACUUUAUUAGUGACUAACUGUCGAUGUACUGCUCGCAUUUGAGCAUAGUUCUCUCUUUUUUCAGUAUGUCCCAGAAAUGGAUUUCGCAUUUGUCCACAAUUUCUAUCGAUGAAAUGUUCACAAUAAUAUUUUUUACGAAGUUAUUAAAAGCAGAAAACAUUUACCCACCUUGGCAAAGUUUACGACUGGGACCUGUCGUUUUGUCUUCUGGACGACAUUCAGGUUGUGUUACGAGACAAAUAAAUUUUCCUAUCUCUGGGUGACUAUCCAAACAGAAAACAUGGUUUUAAAUCAGUUUAAAUUAAUAAAAUGUGAAUAAUACCAAUUUGAAUCAAUAAUAAUCCGGAGGUAUUCCGAGCUUCUUAUGAAGUCAUCUUCAGACUUGUCUCCCACACCAUUUGGAUAAAAGGUGUGAGUGUAAUUGCUGCAGAAGGUCACGUUAAUUGGAACACAUUGAGGCACUAAAUACUUGUGCGACGAUGACGCAGUGACGUAGGGAAUGUUUUCGUUAGUGUGUCCUUAAAUAGUUUUCAAGUUGUAUAAAAUUUAUAGUGAAGGAAUUUGACAAAUUAAUUUUUGCUUGGCGUGACACCAUUGAAGUAUCAUCCUCCAUAGACUUUACAUUCGCCACGUGUAAUUCUUGUUUGCAAUAAAUAAAAUGACUGGAAGACAAAUUUUACCAGCUUCCUAACAUUGUCAUCCCCCCCCCCCCAUGCAUGUACUCAUGAAAAUGAAAAUGUGAGAAAUUGAAAACAAAUUUUACCUUUUAUAUCUGUCACCUUAAAAAAUUUUCCUACGUAGUAAACCGUAGCCAAUCCGAAUAUUAUAAAACAGGCAUAGUAGAUGAAUCUAUUUGUUUUAUAAAUUCUUUUUAUGCUCCAUGCAGGUAGCUCUUCUUCUGGGAUAAAGGAAGAGGGGUACAUUACGAAAAAAUUAAAAGCACCUACUUCUUCGAAAGUGUAACAAAUAAUGACUCCAUAUCGCCGUCCGCCGUCAGUCGUCUGAUAGACCAUCAGAGGAUGCUGAGAUAUAACAACCAGGGUUGUUACGGUUGCUCAACGCCAUAAGAGCUCUUUACAUUGGAAGACGUCCUAGUUUUUCAAAGGGAAGGAACCUUUCUUCCUGUGACGUCAAUUGCCAACUGCCAAUGGGAAUAAAACUAAAACGCGUUCUUUUCGCCAUCUAGGUAACGAAAAUAAAACAAAGUUUUCCCUCAGUGACGGUUAGUACAAACAAACUAGGGUAGAAAACAUGGCGGCUUCCGAGAAAACCAUAAAGCGUAAGGCACUGGUCGACAGAAUUGAAAAUGUAUCUGGAUCUAAAACAAAGCACAGAGAAAAGCUUAUUACAAAUCCCACUCCCAAACUAACAAUGAGACCGAAGCAGAAAGCAAGCAAGACCAUGAAGAAGAAACCACAAUUAUCAAUCAAGAUACAGGAAGUGCUGCAUCACCUGAUGGUAUUGAUAGUUCCCAUGCACUUGAAAGGCAUGCUGUGGGUGGAGUUCCUAGAAUGGAUACUACGAUAAAUAUUGAUUCAGUUACUUCAUCAUCAGUCCAACUAGACACGUCAGGUAUCAUAAUUAGAAAUUAAAUUGUUAUCAUAUUCUUAGCAGGUGUUACUGUGUAUCCACCUAGUUCAUCUUCGACCAACAACCAAUCUUUUGAAGAGGUCUGUAUACUUGGUACACAGAACACAAUUGAUGUUGACUCAUCAGUAGCUUCAUUUACUAAUCCUACUGACAGUGGAGGUGUUUGACCAUCUUCUGCAUUGGGUUGCGCAACUACGCUAAUGUCAGCGGCCUCUACUUUAGAUCAGCUUAUUGCGUUGCGCUUAUUUCCGUGCGACAAACAUCGCACGAAAAUGGUCCCAUUUUUAAUGUUUGAAUACAUAGAAUCCCCAUAUCACAUGGAAGCGAAACGGUUGAAAAAUGAGGUUAGCCAGAAAUCAAAAGAAGAGCAGCAUAAGCUGCGCAAACUGUCUAAGAUGGUAAAUUAAUGUGUAUUAAUGUAUAUUAAGGUUUAUAAUACAAAGAGGAAUUGA
rnacentral:lncRNA from 1 species